CCUGCCCRGCUCCCUCAGCCUAACAGCAAGUAUUUCCUCCUCUGGUGACUGCUUCCAAGAGGCAGGCAGGCUUGCUUUAAAUGCAAAGAGGGACUGUGAUUGACUGCAGAGAUCCCAUAAACAAAGAGGGUUAAAAAAAUAAAGCCAGGCUUCCUGUCUGCCCUUUGCACACUAACAGCCGCUGUUUGCUUGGGCUUCCACAGGAGUAACACAGGAGCACUGAUUUCUAUUACACAGAACAUUAAUAAGAGGAAGCACUGACCCUCGAUUGCAGAGAACCAGGGAGGAAUUUGGAGGUUCUACAAAAGGAAGGCUGCCUGUGGGGACAGGGAAGGUGGCCCGUGAUGACUCAUCUUUUGGUCAUUGAGCUCCAGAGCAGAAGCAACACUGGUCGGUUCCAGACAGGGACUAGAGUCCCUGGAACAGGUCUUGGAAAACCUUCAGAUGCCUUGYACAGCCAGGAGCUGGAUCAAAGCUGGAAGGUCAGCCAUCCCACACUGUCGUCUGUCCAGAAGUAGCCGCAAGUCCACGGCAAAAAGCAAAAUCUCUGGUUCCAAGGAGCGGAAGGGUUGCUGCAAG
rnacentral:lncRNA from 1 species